rnacentral:rRNA from 1 species
CGCGUAGGCGGUUCGGUAAGUCCUGUGUGAAAUCCCUCGGCUCAACUGAGGAACUGCACGGGAGACUGCCGGGCUUGAGUUCGGGAGAGGGAAGCGGAAUUCCGGGUGUAGCGGUGAAAUGCGUAGAUAUCCGGAGGAACACCGGUGGCGAAGGCGGCUUCCUGGACGGGUACUGACGCUGAGGCGCGAAAGCUAGGGGAGGCAAAACA